GACUCCUAGUCCCACCUAUCUAGAUUCCUAUUGGCCAGCAGUGCUUUAUUGACACAGGACUUCCCCAACACCAGGCCUGUUCACGCAUUACUGACCUCACCCUCUCCUGGGUUAGUAGACCAAGUGGGCAAACAGCAGAAAUCAAUGCUCAGUGGCCGUGGCUGCACCUCAGUGCUCUGGCCUGGCCAGAGGACUCCAGAAUCCUGCCUGGCCUUCUCCACGUGCCUUUGGAUGCGACGGGACCUCCAGGACCUCGUCAACCCCCAUCAGUGCAUUUCACCCCAAGGCAGCUCUUGCACCAUCUGUUCCUACACGCGUCGUUAAGUCGGAAUUUCAAACAAAACACUGCCCCCCCCAGGUCCCAUCACGAAGGCAAAAUCGAAUGGAGAGCAACACUGCUGUUGUAUUACUGCUGCUUCUGCUACUUCCGAAAUUUCUAUUAGUGUGUGCCUAUUCCAAUGAGUUUCACUUACC